GACGGAGGAGGCAAGCGUUAUCCGGAAUUAUUGGGCGUAAAGGGUACGUAGGCGGCUGGUCAAGUCUAGGAUCAAAGGCCACAGCUCAACUGUGGGAAGGCUCUGGAAACUGACCGGCUAGAGUGAGGUAGGGGUUGUGGGAAGUCCCGGUGUAGCGGUGAAAUGCGUAGAGAUCUGGAAGAACACCUGAGGCUGAAGCGCGCAACUGGGCCUCAUCUGACGCUGAUGUACGAAAGCUAGGGGAGCAAAUGGG
rnacentral:rRNA from 1 species